UGGCGGACGGGUGAGUAACGCGUGGGCAACCUGCCCUGUACCGGGGGACAACAGCCAGAAAUGGCUGCUAAUACCGCAUAAGCCUGCUGUGCCGCAUGGCACAGCACGGAAAACCACGGUGGUACAGGAUGGGCCCGCGUCUGAUUAGUUAGUUGGCAGGGUAACGGCCUACCAAGACAACGAUCAGUAGCCGGCUUGAGAGAGUGGACGGCCACAUUGGGACUGAGACACGGCCCAGACUCCUGCGGGAGGCAGCAGUGGGGAAUAUUGCACAAUGGGGGGAACCCUGAUGCAGCAAUGCCGCGUGGGUGAAGAAGCACUCCGGUGCGUAAAGCCCUGUCAUCAGGGAAGAAAAUGACAGUACCUGGACAAGAAGCCCCGGCUAACUACGUGCCAGCAGCCGCGGUAAUACGUAGGGGGCAAGCGUUAUCCGGAUUUACUGGGUGUAAAGGGAGCGCAGGCGGCGUGGCAAGUCAGAUGUGAAAACCCGGGGCCCAACCCCGGGAGUGCAUUUGAAACUGCCAUGCUGGAGUGCCGGAGAGGUAAGCGGAAUUCCUAGUG
rnacentral:rRNA from 1 species